rnacentral:rRNA from 1 species
GCUUGCACCGAGCGGAGGAGUUGCGAACGGGUGAGUAACGCGUAGGUAACCUGCCUCUUAGCGGGGGAUAACUAUUGGAAACGAUAGCUAAUACCGCAUAAAAGUCAACAUUGCAUGAUGUUGACUUGGAAGGUGCAAAUGCAUCACUAAGAGAUGGACCUGCGUUGUAUUAGCUAGUUGGUGAGGUAACGGCUCACCAAGGCGACGAUACAUAGCCGACCUGAGAGGGUGAUCGGCCACACUGGGACUGAGACACGGCCCAGACUCCUACGGGAGGCAGCAGUAGGGAAUCUUCGGCAAUGGACGGAAGUCUGACCGAGCAACGCCGCGUGAGUGAAGAAGGUUUUCGGAUCGUAAAGCUCUGUUGUAAAAGAAGAACGAGUGUGAGAGUGGAAAGUUCACACUGUGACGGUAACUUACCAGAAAGGGACGGCUGACUACGUGCCAGCAGCCGCGGUAAUACGUGAGGUCCCGAGCGUUAUCCGGAUUUAUUGGGCGUAAAGCGAGCGCAGGCGGUUAGAUAAGUCUGAAGUUAAAGGCUGUGGCUUAACCAUAGUACGCUUUGGAGACUGUUUAACUUGAGUGCAGAAGGGGAGAGUGGAAUUCCAUGUGUAGCGGUGAAAUGCGUAGAUAUAUGGAGGAACACCGGUGGCGAAAGCGG